rnacentral:rRNA from 1 species
AUACGGAGGGUGCAAGCGUUAAUCGGAAUUACUGGGCGUAAAGAGUACGUAGGUGGUUUAUUAAGUCAGAUGUGAAAGCCCCGGGCUCAACCUGGGAACUGCAUUUGAAACUAGUAAACUAGAGUAUGGUAGAGGGGGGUAGAAUUUCUAGUGUAGCGGUGAAAUGCGUAGAUAUUAGAAGGAAUACCAGUGGCGAAGGCGGCCCCCUGGACCAAUACUGACACUGAGGUACGAAAGCGUGGGUAGCGAACAGGAUUAGAAACCCCAGUAGUCC